rnacentral:SRP_RNA from 1 species
GGUUGGGCCCCGCACGGCUGGUUCUUGUGAACCCCGUCAGAUCCGGAAGGAAGCAGCGGCAGCAGGAUGCCGGCGCGUUGUGGAUAUGUCCGGCCCGG